rnacentral:rRNA from 1 species
UAAGCGGAGGAAAAGAAAAUAACAAUGAUUCCCUUAGUAACGGCGAGUGAAGGGGGAAAAGCUCAAAUUUUAAAUCGGCGCAGGUUUACCUGGUCGAGUUGUAAUUUGAAGAGGCGUUUACCGCGUCCAGGUCGGCCCAAAUCCUUUGGGAUAAGGUAUCAUGGAGGGUGAGAAUCCCGUCCGGCUGACUUCAGGAUGCUUUACGUUACGUUCUCUAAGAGUCGAGUUGUUUGGGAUUGCAGCUCAAAAUGGGAGGUAAAUUUCUCCUAAGGCUAAAUAUAUGCAAGAGACCGAUAGCGAACAAGUACCGUGAGGGAAAGAUGAAAAGAACUUUGAAAAGAGAGUUAAAUAGUACGUGAAAUUGUUGAAAGGGAAACGAUUGAAGUCAGUCAUGCUUGCAGUGAAUCAACAUGGUGGUUUUCUUCCUUGUGCACUUCCCUGCUUGGCAGGUUAGCAUCAAUUUUGAUUGUCAUUAAAUGAAUCGGGGGAAUGAUGGGCUUCUUCGGGANUGUUAUANUACCUCGGUAGAUGUGGCGAUUGGGAUUGAGGAUUGCAGCGAAUGCUUCUAGGCUAGUCACCUGGCUUUCUGACGGUUACCUUGCUUCCGAUAGCUUGCUAACGGUGGUGAGACUCGAUUGUCUAGAUGUUAGUGUGAUCAUAAAUUUCGCUAAGGAUGCUGACGUAAUGGCUUUAAAGCGACCCUGUCUUGAAACACGGACCAAGGAGUCUAACAUGUGUGCGAGUGUU